AUUGAACGCUGGCGGCAUGCUUUACACAUGCAAGUCGAGCGGCAGCGCGGGGGCGACCCUGGCGGCGAGCGGCGAACGGGUGAGUAAUGCAUCGGAACGUACCCCGGAGUGGGGGAUAACUCAGCGAAAGCUGGGCUAAUACCGCAUAUGCUCUUCGGAGGAAAGGGGGGGACCGCAAGGCCUCCUGCUCUGGGCGCGGCCGAUGUCCGAUUAGCUGGUUGGUGGGGUAACGGCUUACCAAGGCGACGAUCGGUAGCUGGUCUGAGAGGAUGAUCAGCCACACUGGGACUGGGACACGGCCCAGACUCCUACGGGAGGCAGCAGUGGGGAAUUUUGGACAAUGGGGGCAACCCUGAUCCAGCCAUGCCGCGUGCGGGAAGAAGGCCUUCGGGUUGUAAACCGCUUUUAGCUGGGAAGAAAAGGCACGGGCCAAUACCCCGUGUUCUUGACGGUACCGGCGGAAUAAGCACCGGCUAACUACGUGCCAGCCGCCGCCGUAAGAC
rnacentral:rRNA from 1 species